AAAAAAUCUUAAAUACUUUUAGGGUUGGUAAUUAUUUUUAGGUGGAGUUAAUGCCAGGUACUUGAAUUAAUGGAUUGGUUAGUUGAUCCAUUCAUUUUUCAUUAAUUUACAAUUACAUGCUUCUUGCUGUUUGGAAUGAUAUCCAGAAGAAAACAACAAAAUAGUCACUAAAUGGAUGGUCUAUAUAAUCAGAUUAGUUACCUUCUAGUUAAUGGAGAGAAGGAGAAACAUAAGAUAAUUUCUAGUGUGAGAAUUCAUAUAAGAGAGCAAGAGGAAAGAUUGCACAAAAAGCCAUGCAGGUGUUAGAAUGCCAGAGAGCCCUGUGGAUCCUUACACAGUUGGAAUCUUGAGAAGACUGAGCGCUGCUGGUUGUGCCCCUUCCUGUCUGGAUAUUUCCAAAAAAUGUACAGACAAGUUGCUUCAGUAGCAUGCACCUCACUGAGGACAGGUUAGGGUUAAAGUUUACAACCAAAGAGUGAAAACUACAGUUCCCAAGAUAGUUUUACCAUAACAGUUCUAUAACCGUAAAAGGAAAUGUUUUCCCCUCAUAAUCAAAAAGAACUUUGAUUCAUUCCACACUCUAUUAUUUUAUCUUUAGUGAACAGACAUUUUAAAUUGCAUCCUGCAAGCUUCUGAAAGCUUUUCAGAAAUCCAUCAUUCGUUUUCGCUCCGCAGCGUGACUGGAUCCUCCCUCGAUGUUCUCUCUGCUACACACCCAGGAGGCCCUCACAGGCGAUCAUAUGAUGACUUAUUUAAAAGAAUUUUGGAGAGCUGGUGACCACAUAGGAUGGAAUGAACUUGGACUUGAAAUUAUAGAAGCCUUGGUCUUCAUUCAUCACCUCCAACUGGGUGACUCACGGAUAUUUAACCUGUCUCAACAUCGCAAAAUUGGAGGUAAUUUCUACUUUGCAAGAUUCUUGGGAUGUUUAAAUAAAGUGUGAAGACUGCCUGGCACAUGUGAACAUACAAUUAACAUUAGCUCCCUUUCCAUUCUUGCUUCCAACUCUAAAGUCCAUGAUAGUGAAUCCCUUAAUGCAAAAACAAAAACAAAGAAGCCUUCUCUUUUUGAAUUGGCAGACUUAGAGACAAAAAUAUAAUUUUUAAAAAGACAGUCGAUACCUUUCUUGUAGGAUUAGGCCCAGUGCACCACUCUGUAAUGAAAUCUCCAAGUGACAGUUAUGUUAAAUGUAACAAACUGUAGUGUGUCUGGAGUUGACAUAUUCCAAUCAAUAUGCUUGUUGUACAAGAUGUCAGAUUCAAUAAAGCAUCCCAGUGCCAUUUCUGUUGUCA
rnacentral:lncRNA from 1 species